GCACAAAGGCAUUCAAUUUUUUAUGUUAAGAGCAGGGAAAAGAGAAGAGUGAAAGAGGUUAAGAACGUGAUAAAUACCAACUUUACAAAACUGGAUAAAUGCCAUAAAAGGCAAAAAGAGUUAUCAAAGAGACUGCACCUUUAUGUACAGUACAAAGCUGUAUUUUUCACAUCAAUAUUAAAUUUUAAUGAUGUCAGUAACAUGUUGGCACAAGCAGAAGGAGCCAAUACGCUAUGCAGGUUUCAAAAACAUUUAGACAUUCCUUUCCUGAAGGCCAUCUCAAGACUUAGCAGGAACUCCCACUACAACCAAGGACUGUCUAGGUAAGGGUCACUCCUCCUCAACCUUACAGCUGUCAGACAACAAUCAAACUUGCUGUCCCAGCACACAGACAAUACUCUGUCUUAAAAUAGGGCACACCUAUUGAUAAUGCCACUGUCAAAACUGUACUGCAAAUGUCUGUAAGUUGAAGCUUAGUGUGAAUUUAGGAAAAAAACCAAAAAC